GUUCCUUGCAUACACAGAACAUAGCUUCAAUCGAGAUUGUAAAAGUAUAAUGAAGCUACUUUUAAUAACGUUGUUAGUUAUCUCUCGUGUAUUUACAUUUUGUAUUGCCUAUGCACGCUUUUACCCAAACGCUUCACACCCAGAUUAUCCCAACCAAUGCUUCGACGCAGUAGGUCAAAUUCACGUAGACGUUGGAACAACGGUGCAAAGCAAAUACUGUGAACGAAUCACCUGUUCUAAAGAUUACUCGAUGUCAAUCUACGGUUGUAGUGUUAUUGCAGUUUUACCACGAUGUCAACUGAUACCAAAAGAUUAUGAAAAGCCUUAUCCGGAUUGCUGUUCUAAAAUGGACUGUUCGACAACAAAAGCAGAUGCAUAGUUCAACGACCCAGCGCUCAAAAUAAUAAAAAAUUGAAUGAAUCUAUAACAUCGGGUCUUUGAAGAAACUACACUUAA